ensembl:lncRNA
AUCUGAUUUAGCAAUUUUUGUCAUGUAUCUCUACUUUUGCUGCCAUGGUGAAGUUUAAAUUUAAAAAAUGAAAAACAACUCCUGUCUCUCUUACUCUUUUGCAGAUGCAUCCACACACCUUUGUAUUUGGACUACAGAUUCUUUUCAAAUAUUAAUUCUUAGAUUUCAAAAGUCAUUGUUAUUCUGAUGUCCCAUUUGAGUUCUGUUUUGUUUCUAUUGCAGUUUAAAAAACUAAAUAAAUGUAUUGACUAUGAAAUAAAUGACACGAUAUUUGCUAGGUUUGAAGUAAUAAUGACUUAUUGUAAAUAAGCAUUUUUUCCUCCCUUGUACUGAAAAAAGAAAUUAAAUGGUUGUACAUUGUGUAGAAAAGCAAACAAAAAGCCAUGAAUAUUGUGAAGCUUGUCAUUUCGUUUUGUGAUCACUGUGUAUUAUUGUGUAACAAAUGUGCAAAAUGUUUGGGAUUCUUCCCCCCCCCCCUCUGCUUCUUAAAGCAGUCUCGCUGGAUGCAUUGGCUUUAAUUUUGGACUAGUUAACGUUUGCAGAGGAGUGAUGACUGGUUCAGAGUGAUCGAAUCUGCAGGUCUGAAACACAUUUGUCUACUGUUGAAUUUUUGCAGCUUGAAAUAACUUUGUUCCUUACAGAAUUGUUUCCUGAACAAGUUCUAGAUUAAAGCACUUUGAAUGUUUGGAUUAGAUGAACCCUCCUUAACUGAUUGAUUCAGAGUCAAACUGACGCCUUGGAGUGUUUGGAUGUUCGCUGCAAGUCAUUACCGCCGACCACUUUCUUAUGUCCACAUAUUCAAGCAGCCAAUGACUUUCUACGGCCACUGAAAGUUGCUCUGCUGCGCUGUACAUGCUAAAUUGAUUGUGAUGUAAGAUACAAUAACAAGUCAUUUCCAAAUCAAUGAUUUCUAGAGUUCCAGUGUUAAUAAAUAAUCAACAAACACACGGGACAGAUUCUUCAACAGAAAAAUCUAACAAGGACACUGAUUCUGGAAAGUCAUCUGGUGGUACUGUAAGCAGCACAAAGGAUGGAAAUUGAUUCCUAAAACAUACAAAAAAAAUCAUUGACUUGAUGAAUGGACAGUGACAAAUGGUCAGUAAUCAUGAUUGGUAAUUAGUGGCUUAAACACAGAAAAUCAUUGACAGAAUCCAAACUAAAGUUUCAAGAGGAUUCUAGCUUUUUAGCAUUGUUUACAUGCUAUUUCUAUUUUGUUUUCUUUCCUCACUAAGAAAUAUGUAAUUCUAGGGGUAACACUAUUGUGUUUUUGGCAUAAAAUAGUCUACUGAAUAUAACCGCGUAUGUCAGACUUUGCCAAUAAGCUCUCACAGUAGGUGUUUCCUGGUCCGACCUGCUUCACCUGUGAAGGGUUCGCUCUGAAUCAGUGAUCACUUUUUCUGCCAACACCAGCAUACAACAUGUAUGGUCCUGUACUGUUUGGCUUUAUAUUCUAUUAGUUGUUGUUGCUAAUGCAGGGAAAGAUUUAAGUGCAAAAUCAGUUAUAUCAAUUUUCAUGUAGAAGCAUUUUGCAUAGUGUUGACAACAUUGAAAUAAACAUCCUGGGAAUCAAAAACAAAUGAUGAUGCUGACCAGAGACUAUUUGAGUCAUUUUAGUUUUGCUUACAUCAAUCCUGACCUUUUGCACAUACUUGAUAUUUAAUGGUCUUCAAAAAAUAGAAGAAAAUAAUGCUGUUUGAAUACUGCCAGUUGAUUGACAAUUAUGCAUUGAUUGAAAAAAUAAGCUAAUUUUGGAGGAAAUAACUUUGUAAUAUUUAUCUCUUGCAAGCU